rnacentral:rRNA from 1 species
CCUACGGGGUGCAGCAGUGAGGAAUAUUGGUCAAUGGACGAGAGUCUGAACCAGCCAAGUAGCGUGAAGGAUGACUGCCCUAUGGGUUGUAAACUUCUUUUAUAUGGGAAUAAAACGUUCCACGUGUGGGAUUUUGUAUGUACCAUAUGAAUAAGGAUCGGCUAACUCCGUGCCAGCAGCCGCGGUAAUACGGAGGAUCCGAGCGUUAUCCGGAUUUAUUGGGUUUAAAGGGAGCGUAGGUGGAUUGUUAAGUCAGUUGUGAAAGUUUGCGGCUCAACCGUAAAAUUGCAGUUAAAACUGGCAGUCUUGAGUACAGUAGAGGUGGGCGGAAUGCGUGGUGUAGCGGUGAAAUGCUUAGAUAUCACGAAGAACUCCGAUUGCGAAGGCAGUUCACUGGACUGCAACUGACACUGAGGCUCGAAAGUGUGGGUAUCAAACAGGAUUAGAUACCCUUGUAGUC